rnacentral:tRNA from 1 species
AUCAAUGUAGCAAAUAAAGUGCGAUGAAUUUAAGCUUCAUAAAUAGGUAAUUCUCUUUGAUA